rnacentral:piRNA from 1 species
UCACCUAUGUGCACACAUAUGGAGGCCGU